CCUACGGGUGGCUGCAGUGGGGAAUAUUGGACAAUGGGCGAAAGCCUGAUCCAGCCAUGCCGCGUGUGUGAAGAAGGCCUUCGGGUUGUAAAGCACUUUCAGUGGGGAAGAAAGCCUUGGGGCUAAUACCCUCGAGGAAGGACAUCACCCACAGAAGAAGCACCGGCUAACUCCGUGCCAGCAGCCGCGGUAAUACGGAGGGUGCGAGUGUUAAUCGGAAUUACUGGGCGUAAAGCGCGCGUAGGCGGUCUGAUAAGCCGGUUGUGAAAGCCCCGGGCUCAACCUGGGAACGGCAUCCGGAACUGUCAGGCUAGAGUGCAGGAGAGGAAGGUAGAAUUCCCGGUGUAGCGGUGAAAUGCGUAGAGAUCGGGAGGAAUACCAGUGGCGAAGGCGGCCUUCUGGACUGACACUGACGCUGAGGUGCGAAAGCGUGGGUAGCAAACAGGAUUAGAUACCCUGGUAGUC
rnacentral:rRNA from 1 species